rnacentral:tRNA from 1 species
AUUUAAAUAGCUUAUAUAGAGCAUAGUAUUGAAAAUACUAAGGAAAUAUUUAUAUUUUUAAAUA